rnacentral:lncRNA from 11 species
GGGGGGGGGGGAGAGGGGAGAGGGAAAGAAAGCAGGCCCACCCCUUCUUUAGGGGUCAGUGAGGCCAAAGCAAGGCAAAGAAACCUGAUAAAAUCCUUCUUUCCUCUCCAAGAUGGCAAAGCACUCCUUCCAGCCAGGUUACAGUGUUUUGCAGACAUCUGCAAGAGGAAGAUACAGUUGUGAAGAACCUGGAAGCAAAUAGAGUUAUUGGGACCCUAUCACAGGGUUUUCUUGGCAAGGUUUCUUC